GAAAAGAACCCCGGGAGGGGAGUGAAAUAGAACCUGAAACCCUGCACUUACAAGCUGUGGAAGCACAUUUCUUGUGUGACCGCGUACUUUUUGUAGAACGGGCCAACGAGUUACGUUAAGUAGCAAGGUUAAGCACUUAAGGUGCGGAGCCGUAGCGAAAGCGAGUUUUAACUGAGCGUUCAGUUACUUGACGUAGACCCGAAACCGGGCGACCUACCCAUGAGCAGGAUGAAGCGAAAGUAAAAUUUCGUGGAGGUCCGAACCCACGAGCGUUGAAAAGCUCGGGGAUGACUUGUGGGUAGCGGUGAAAUUCCAAUCGAGCCCGGAGAUAGCUGGUUCUCCCCGAAAUAGCUUUAGGGCUAGCCUCAAGGUGAGAGAUACGGAGGUAGAGCACUGAAUGUCCUAGGGGGUAUUGCACCUACCGAAGACUAUCAAACUCCGAAUGCCGUCAUCUUAUACUUGGGAGUCAGACUGUGGGUGAUAAGAUUCAUAGUCGAAAGGGCAACAGCCCAGAUCGUCAGCUAAGGUCCCUAAAUGUAAGUUAAGUGGUAAAGGAUGUGGGAUUGCACAGACAACCAGGAUGUUGGCUUAGAAGCAGCCACUCAUUCAAAGAGUGCGUAAUAGCUCACUGGUCGAGUGAUCCUGCGCCGAAGAUUUCCGGGGCUAAAACUUACUACCGAAGCUACGGCAUCAGUAAUGAUGGGUAGGGGAGCUUCCCAUACGGGUUGAAGCAUGACCGUAAGGACAUGUGGACAGUAUGGGAGUGAGAAUGUUGGCAUGAGUAGCGAGAUGUGGGUG
rnacentral:rRNA from 1 species